rnacentral:rRNA from 1 species
GAGGAGCUUGCUCCUUUGACGUUAGCGGCGGACGGGUGAGUAACACGUGGGUAACCUACCUAUAAGACUGGAAUAACUCCGGGAAACCGGGGCUAAUGCCGGAUAACAUGUUGAACCGCAUGGUUCAACAGUGAAAGACGGUCUUGCUGUCACUUAUAGAUGGACCCGCGCCGUAUUAGCUAGUUGGUAAGGUAACGGCUUACCAAGGCGACGAUACGUAGCCGACCUGAGAGGGUGAUCGGCCACACUGGAACUGAGACACGGUCCAGACUCCUACGGGAGGCAGCAGUAGGGAAUCUUCCGCAAUGGGCGAAAGCCUGACGGAGCAACGCCGCGUGAGUGAUGAAGGUCUUCGGAUCGUAAAGCUCUGUUGUUAGGGAAGAACAUAUGUGUAAGUAACUGUGCACAUCUUGACGGUACCUAACCAGAAAGCCACGGCUAACUACGUGCCAGCAGCCGCGGUAAUACGUAGGUGGCAAGCGUUAUCCGGAAUUAUUGGGCGUAAAGCGCGCGUAGGCGGUUUUUUAAGUCUGAUGUGAAAGCCCACGGCUCAACCGUGGAGGGUCAUUGGAAACUGGAAAACUUGAGUGCAGAAGAGGAAAGUGGAAUUCCAUGUGUAGCGGUGAAAUGCGCAGAGAUAUGGAGGAACACCAGUGGCGAAGGCGGCUUUCUGGUCUGUAACUGACGCUGAGGUGCGAAAGCGUGGGGAUCAAACAGGAUUAGAUACCCUGGUAGUCCACGCCGUAAACGAUGAGUGCUAAGUGUUAGGGGGUUUCCGCCCCUUAGUGCUGCAGCUAACGCAUUAAGCACUCCGCCUGGGGAGUACGGUCGCAAGACUGAAACUCAAAGGAAUUGACGGGGACCCGCACAAGCGGUGGAGCAUGUGGUUUAAUUCGAAGCAACGCGAAGAACCUUACCAAAUCUUGACAUCUUUUGACCGCUCUAGAGAUAGAGUUUUCCUCUUCGGAGGACAAAAUGACAGGUGGUGCAUGGUUGUCGUCAGCUCGUGUCGUGAGAUGUUGGGUUAAGUCCCGCAACGAGCGCAACCCUUAAGCUUAGUUGCCAUCAUUAAGUUGGGCACUCUAAGUUGACUGCCGGUGACAAACCGGAGGAAGGUGGGGAUGACGUCAAAUCAUCAUGCCCCUUAUGAUUUGGGCUACACACGUGCUACAAUGGACAAUACAAAGGGCAGCGAAACCGCGAGGUCAAGCAAAUCCCAUAAAGUUGUUCUCAGUUCGGAUUGUAGUCUGCAACUCGAC